rnacentral:lncRNA from 1 species
AGCUCUUUGAGGUCUGUCUGGUCAAUCUUGCAUGCCCUGCAACCUAAAGAAGGGAAUGUAUCAACAGGACUCUUAGGAUACACAGAACAAGACUCAACUGUGGCCACUUAAGCCAACUGAGCAGCUAGAGCCACCAGGAAUACUGUAUUGGUCAACCUAGCACAUUAACAGGAGGGGAUGUACCUCGGUGGUCAAGGGCUUGCUUGAUCCAUAUGUGGAACAGCCAGCUACUUCUCCAGCACCAUGUCUACCUGUGUGACACCAUGCUUCUCACCAUGAUGAUAAUGGACUAAACCUCUGACACUUGUCGGACGGCCAAAGCACAUGCGGGUUAUGGCUGGAGCCCUGGAGGGGGACCUGUUCAUUGGACCGAAAGCAGAGGAGCACCGGGGGCUGCUGACCAUCCGAUACCCUAUGGAGCACGGUGUGGUACGGGACUGGAACGACAUGGAGCGCAUCUGGCAGUACGUCUACUCUAAGGACCAGCUACAGACCUUCUCCGAGGAGCAUCCUGUUCUUCUAACGGAGGCCCCACUGAACCCCAGUAAGAACCGGGAGAAGGCGGCAGAGGUGUUCUUUGAAACCUUCAACGUUCCUGCACUGUUUAUCUCCAUGCAGGCCGUGCUCAGCCUGUACGCAACAGGACGCACUACUGGAGUGGUUUUAGACUCGGGGGACGGGGUCACUCACGCUGUCCCCAUCUAUGAGGGCUUUGCCAUGCCGCACUCCAUCAUGCGGGUAGACAUUGCG